UAUACACGUUAGAUUUGAAAUAAUAGCGUUAACUAACUAGUAUAAUAAAGCUGUCUCGAGACAAUCCCCGCAUUCGGAUUUAGUCACUGAUCGGCUUUCAUCGCACUCGUUCUGAUUUCUACCUGAUCUUCGCAAGAUGUCUCAAUUCAAGCCGAUUCUGUACUUUGACGAUCGCAGUCCGCCGGUGCGCAGUUGUCUUAUGCUAAUUAAACUGCUGGAUAUCGAUGUGGAGUUUCGCUUUGUGGAUCUCUUCAAGGGCGAACAAUUUCAAAAAGACUUUUUGGCGUUAAAUCCCCAGCACAGUGUUCCUACUCUGGUGCAUGGUGACCUCGUACUGACCGAUAGCCAUGCCAUACUCAUACACCUGGCGGAAAAAUUCGACGAGGGCGGCAGUCUGUGGCCCAAGGAGUAUGCCCAACGAAUGAUGGUCCUGAAUCUCCUGCUCUUCGAGUGCUCCUUUCUGUUCCGGCGUGACAGUGAUUUUAUGUCGGCGAUUGUCCGCCAAGGAUUCGCCCAUGUGGAUGUGGCCCACCACGAACGCAAGCUGACCGAGGCAUAUGGCAUCAUGGAGCGCUACCUGGAAAAGAGCAACUACAUGGCCGGGGACCAGCUGACGCUUGCCGACUUCUCCCUGGUGACCACAUUGAGCACCGUCAAUCUCAUGUUUCCGCUGACGCGAUUUCCACGUUUGCAGCGUUGGUUCACCGCAAUGCAGCAGCUGGAUGCCUACGAAGCCAACUGCAGCGGGCUGGAGAAGCUGAGGCAGACUAUGGAGGCCAUCGGCAACUUCCAGUUUCCCACCUCCUCCUCCUCCUUAUCCUCCUCCUCAGUGGAUCAGGUUGAGCCCUGAGCUCUUGAUAGUUAUUAAAUCGUGUGUUUAAUUUAGAUGUUUGCCAAGGUUUAGGUGGUAUUAUACGCUUGCUUGUGAAGAUACUGCCUUCGCGCUGCCCUCAGUCUGUCCGUGGCCUUCCCGCUGUUUACAUCUAUAGUGAUAGUGGUAUUAAAAGUGAUAGUGCCCUUCGACCUAAAAUAUGUCACCUGACCAAGGCAAUACAACCGGAUAACCAGAAAGAAGCUCAAUUCGAUGAAGUCACCAAGAAUAUAAGUCUUCACAGGAUGGUAUUAAGCAAUAACGAAAAGGGAUAGCUGCGGUGACCCCCGACGGUCUGGC